GGAUUAGGCAUGCAAGUCGCGCGAGAAAUUUCCUUCGGGGAAUGGACAGCGGCGGAAGGGAGAGGAAUAAUUAAAAAUCUGCCCUCGGGACGGGGAUAGCGGUGGGAAACUGCCGGUAAUACCCGAUAACAUCUUCGGAUCAAAUGGUGUGAUUCCGCCUGGGGAUGAGUCUACUUCCUAUUAGCUAGUUGGUGGGGUAAUGGCCUACCAAGGCAACGAUGGAUAGCGGGUGUGAGAGCACGACCCGCCUCACUGGGAGUGAGACACUGCCCAGACACAUACGGGUGGCUGCAGUCGAGAAUCUUCGGCAAUGGGGGAAACCCUGACCGACCGACGCCGCGUGCGGGAUGAAGGCCCUUGGUUUGUAAACCGCUGUCGUAAGGGAACAAAUCUAGGGGGGUACUCCCCCUUAGUUGAGUGAUCUUAGGAGGAAGGACGGGCUAAGUUCGUGCCAGCAGCCGCGGUAAGACGAACCGUCCGAACGUUAUUCGGUAUCACUGGGCUUAAAGAGUUCGUAGGCGGCCCGACAGGUCAGGUGUGAAAUCCCUCGGCUCAACCGAGGAACUGCGCUUGAAACCGUCAGGCUUGAGGGAGAUAGAGGUGAGCGGAACAGAUGGUGGAGCGGUGAAAUGCGUUGAUAUCAUCUGGAACACCGGUGGCGAAAGCGGCUCUCUGGAUCUUUUCUGACGCUGAGGAACGAAAGCUAGGGUAGCGAACGGGAUUAGAUACCCCGGUAGUCCUAGCUGUAAACGAUGAGCACUAGUCUGUGGGGACCCUCACAUCCUCUCGGACGUAGCGAAAGUGUUAAGUGCUCCG
rnacentral:rRNA from 1 species